rnacentral:rRNA from 1 species
GACAGAGGAUGCAAGCGUUAUCCGGAAUGAUUGGGCGUAAAGCGUCUGUAGGUGGCUUUUCAAGUCCGCCGUCAAAUCCCAGGGCUCAACCUGGGAAUGGCGGUGGAUACUGGAUAGCUAGAGUGUGUCAGAGGAUGGUGGAAUUCCCGGUGUAGCGGUGAAAUGCGUAGAGAUCGGGAGGAACAUCAGUGGCGAAGGCGGCCAUCUGGGACAACACUGACGCUGAAGCACGAAAGCGUGGGGAGCAAACGGG